rnacentral:lncRNA from 1 species
AGCACGGAAGAAUCCCGGGCGCCCUGAUAAGAAGAGAACAAGUUAAUGUCAGAACACACAUGAACAUUAGCACCAGUAUCAAGCCACCAACUAGGUGAUUGAAAUACUGAGAAGAUGAAAGGUAGAUUACCAUACCCUUUGUCUUCCUCAUUGCUAGCGAUCACUGUGUUGACAUUGCCCUUUUUGCCACGGCGAUCCGCUCGAUCAGGACAAUCCUUGGCAAAAUGACCCGCCUCGCCACAUGCGAAACAUGUCAAUUCAGCCUUGUUCUUCUUCUUCUUGAAGUUGGUAGUUUUAUUGGGCUUGUUAGAUUUUGGCUUCCCUUUGCCCUUGUUGUGGUUCUUCUGAACCAUGUUGGCGCUGGAGUGGCCCUCGCCUCCUUUAGAUCCCGUGUCCUUAGCCCGAGCUUUCUCCUCAACAUCCAGAGACGCUAUCAGAUUUUCGACUGAUAUCUCCUGUCUCUUAUGUUUCAGAGCUGUGGCGAAGUUCCUCCAUGUAGAAGGCAACUUUGCAAUAAUGCACCCGGCCACAAAUCGGUCAGGAAGGACUAUCUUAAGGUGGUCGAGCUCCUUGGCUAUACACUGUAUUUCAUGAGCUUGCUCUACAAUAGAGCGAUUAUCAACCAUCUUAUAAUCAUGAAAGCUCUCCAUGAUAUACAGGUCACUGCCAGCAUCUGAUGCACCAUACUUAGUAGUAAGUGCAUCCCACAACUGUUUCCCGUCUGUAUACUGCAUAUUCGCAUCAACCAGACGGUCAACAAGGGCGCUAAGAACGGCUCCCGUGAACAUAGUAUUGGCAUGGUCGUACUCUUUCUCCUGUUCAGGAGUCAGUGGACCCUCAGGUCUGCCUUUACUAACAUGGAAGACAUUCAUAGCAGUAAGCCAGAGCGUGGCCUUGACUUGCCAUCUCUUAAAGUGCAUACCAUUGAACUUUUCUGGCUUGAGCGCAUCGGCAAAAGCAGCCAUAGAAAAACUAGGAAAUUGUCUACAAUAAGGUUUUUGGAUUGUUGAAUAAUUAGACAAAUUCCAAAUUAAAUUCCGAAUAUAAAUCAUGACCAAAUCAGAAGAACUGAAAUAAAAGCCAAAUCAGAUGAUGCGUACUGAUUAGACUUACUGAUUGUUGGCGCGCGCCAGGAUCAGCUGGGUCGACGAGGUCAGCAGAUCACGAGCAGUCGCGUGAAGACGCUUCCCAAAAACCUUAUUCGCCCUCUCCCGGUGCAGGAUCUAGAAGACGAAGGGUUCCGGAGACCUGCUCUCCUGAUCGCAGAUGCACCUCUGCGGUCGGGACGAAGGGAACUAAAAGGCGGCUCAGCUAUGAAGAGAGGCGAAAGUGAACUGGGAUCUGGGAUGAUAUGGAGGCUGGCUGCCGGGCUCCUUUUAUAGGGCCAAGUCCGCGACCCCCUGUGCUUAUCCGCCCACGAAAAUCUCGCAAUUGAUUGUUGAGAUUUUAUAGCGAUCGGUUAGGAUAAGCGUAACAGCCAAGAAACCAAAAAAUCAAACGGCAAAAGGUAGUCGCGCCCCCGCAAGGCGAGGGGCCGGAUUUCGGCGGACCAUUCACGCGCAUGUCGUGCGCCCGCGCCCUUCGCCCCGGCCCGGCCAGGCCAGGCCAGGCCAGGCCAGGCCAGGCGAGGCGAGCGAGCGCGCGCGCGUGUGGCUCUCCACACUCUCUCCUCUCAUCCAUGACUUGGUGAGUGAGUGUGGCUUCCAUAUUUAAGCUAGCUCUACUCCACAAGAGCUAGCAAUAUGGUGCUAUUGGUUCCACCUAUCCCUUUGCCAUCCACUUAUAUGGGCUUUUGAGAUUUUCCUGGAAUUAUUAGAAAUUCUUAAUUGGGCCAAGCCCAUAAAUCCUAACAAUCCCCCACCAGAUCUCAAAUGCCCAUCUGCAGUUUUCGCCACUGUUCACUACUGUUUAAUAUACUAGUUUUUCAGCAGAGACUGUUAAGUUGAACUUCCGCCUAGAACUCCAAGUUACACCAACCCACAACUUGGACAAUGGACUAUGCCUUGAAUUGCAAGUUUUGCGUGAAUGGGUUUCACUUGAAGUCAUGACCAGUACUUGGCUACCAGUAGUCCCCUUCUCGGGUGGAGCAUAUACGUCGUACUCCAAGGUCUCUUCAUGAGUUUACUAGAGAUCACCCAAAUCUCAUAGACUGCGACGUUAGACAGUCUAACUCAUAUAGGUGUGUUCUUUCAAAGAAUGUUCUGCAGGACAACAUCUUCGCUAAUACAAGCCAACAGAACACAUUAAGGCACAAAGCCAACCUGCCUUACAGCAUUUGAGAGUAUUGCAUCUUUACUUAGAGAGGGUCAAAAGUUACUCUCCUCAGUUCACCAAUGGCUUGUUCUUCCCAGGACCUAAUUCACGGGAUCUCCGAUCACAUAGACUGGGUUUCCACCAUGGCAACUUUAUUCGGGUCUCAUACCCAUCUCUCUCGAUGCGAUUUCUAUCACAUUACGUGGUAGUCCCUUGGUAAAAGGAUCUGCCAGAUUUUUAUCUGUUGAAAUAUAAGUCACACUUAUAACUCCGGAGUUUCUCAACUUUCUGACAGACUUCAAUCGUCUUUUGACAUGUCUUGAUGACUUUCCAUUAUCCUUAGAACUCGUCACUUUAGCAAUCACUGUCUGAUUGUCACAGUUCAUAAGGAUAGCUGGUAUUGGUUUCUCAACCACCGGCAAGUCCAUCAAGAGUUCACGCAACCAUUCUGCCUCAACGGUUGCUGUGUCAAGUGCAGCUAGCUCGGCUUCCAUGGUUGACCUCGUCAAAAUGGUCUGCUUGCAUGACCUCCAUGAUACCGCACCUCCACCAAUAGUAAAGACAUAACCACUGGUGGCAUAAAGCUCGUCUGCAUCAGAUAUCCAGUUCGAAUCACUAUAUCCUUCAAGUACUGCAUGCUGACCAGAAUAGUGAAUUCCAUAACUCAUUGUACCUUGCAGGUAGCGCAUAACCCGCUCAAGUGCAUGCCAAUGAUCAGUCCCGGGGUUUGACAUGAACCUACUCAAUUUGCUCACAGCAAACGAGAUAUCGGGCCUUGUUGCACCAGCAAGAUACAUGAGUGAACCGACAAUCUGAGAGUAUCUCAAUUGGUCUAAACCAAUUCUCUUGUUCUUUCGCAGUGUCACACUGGGAUCAUAAGGUGUUGGAGAAGGUUUGCACUCAGAGAAGCCAAAUCGCUUCAAAACCUUUUCAACAUAGUGAGAUUGCGAGAGAGUAAUCCCACCAUCUGCCUUAAUCAGCUUGAUGUUUAGAAUCACAUCAGCUUCUCCCAGAUCUUUCAUAUCAAAACUCUUUGAUAGAAAAGACUUGACUUCAUUGAUCACAUCAAUGUUUGUGCCAAAUAUCAAUAUAUCAUCAAUAUAUAAGCACAAUAUAACUCCUUCGCCCCCACCACAGCGAUAAUAUACACACCUGUCUGCCUCAUUAAUGGCAAAGCCUGCAGACGUUAGAGUAGUGUCAAACUUCUCAUGCCACUGCUUUGGUGCUUGCUUCAGACCAUACAAAGAUUUCAAUAACUUGCACACCUUGCUUUCUUGACCCUUUACUACAAAUCCAUCAGGCUGUUCCAUAUAGAUUUCCUCGUCCAGCUCUCCAUUAAGAAAAGCUGUCUUUACAUCCAUCUGAUGAACAAGGAGACCAUACGAGGCAGCCAAAGAAAGUAGUACUCGAAUAGUGGUCAUUCUAGCAACAGGUGAGUAAGUAUCAAAGAAGUCUUCUCCUUCUUUCUGAGUAUAGCCUUUAGCCACAAGCCUAGCCUUGUACUUUUCAAUUGUACCAUCAGGCUUGAGCUUCUUUUUAAACACCCACUUACAACCCACGGGUUUACAUCCAUAGGGUCGAUCAGUGACUUCCCACGUACCAUUUGAAAGAAUGGAGUCCAUCUCAUUAUGAACUGCUUCUUUCCAAUCAUCUGCAUCUGGAGAUGCAAAUGCUUCUGCAAUGGUAGUAGGAGUAUCGUCCACAAGGUACACAAUGAAAUCAUUACCAAAGGAUUUUUCAACCCUUUGUCUCUUGCUCCUUUUAGGAGCAUCAUUGUCAUCCUCCUCUAGGACAAUUUCAUGUGGCUGUUCAAAACUCUCAAUAGGUGUAUUAUGUCCAGGAAUUAUCUCAGAAGAGUAUCUAGAAUUGCUAUGAAUGUCUUUCAUUGGAAAUAUAUGCUCAAAGAAAGUAGCAUCACGUGAUUCCAUAAUAGUAUCAACAUACACAUCAGGAACUUCAGAUUUAACUACUAAAAAUCUAUAAGCUAUGCUACACGAAGCAUAUCCAAGAAAGACACAAUCCACUGUCCUUGGACCAAGCUUGCGCUUUUUAUUAUUUGGUACAUUGACUUUCGCCAUGCACCCCCAAGUGCGCAAGUAUGAAAGUGAUGGUUUUCUCCCAACCCACUUCUCAUAAGGGGUUUUCUCUUCUUUGCCCAUAGGAAUUCUAUUCAGAACAUGACAUGAAGUCAGGACUGCCUCCCCCCACCAUGCCUUAGAUAAACCACAAGUGUCUAACAUGGCAUUCACCAGGUCAGUCAACGUACGGUUUUUCCUUUCAGCAAUCCCGUUUGACUCGGGUGAAUAGGGAGGAGUCCUCUCAUGAAUAAUGCCAUGUUCUGCACAGAAAUCAUCAAAGACUUUGGGAAAGAACUCGCCACCACGAUCUGAUCUAAGACGUUUGAUCUUUCUCUCUAGUUGGUUUUCAACCUCAGCCUUAUAGAUUUUAAAGUAGUCUAAAGCCUCAUCUUUAGUUUUUAGCAAGUAUACAUAGCAAAAUCUAGACGCAUCAUCAAUCAAUGUCAUGAAGUAUCUCUUACCACCUUUUGUCAACACACCAUUCAUCUCACAAAGAUCAGAAUGUAUGAGUUCUAGUGGUGCCAGGUGUCUCUCCUCAGCAGCCUUAUGAGGCUUUCGAGGUUGCUUCGACUGCACACAACUAUGGCACUUAGAACCUUUGACUAUGGUGAUAUUCGGAAUUAAACUCAUGGUUGCAAGCCGAGACAUAGAGCCAAAAUUAAUAUGACACAAACGAGAAUGCCAAAUACUCGCAAGAUCAUCAACAUUAGCACAAAUAUGGUUCACAGACUUAUUAUUGAAAUCUAACAAAGAAAAGCGGAACAAGCCUCCGCAAUCAUAGCCUUUACCAAUAAAUUGUCCAGACUUGGACACAACUAAUUUAUUGGACUCUAAAACUACCUUGAACCCAUCUCUACAUAGAAGGGUUCCGCUAACGAGAUUCUUGUGUAUAGAAGGGACAUGAUGCACGUUCUUCAGCUGCACGAUCUUUCCCGAAGUAAACUUCAGAUCCACCGUGCCAGUGCCAUGAACAGAAGCAUGUGACCCAUUCCCCAUUAGCACGGAAGAAUCCCGGGCGCCCUGAUAAGAAGAGAACAAGUUAAUGUCAGAACACACAUGAACAUUAGCACCAGUAUCAAGCCACCAACUAGGUGAUUGAAAUACUGAGAAGAUGAAAGGUAGAUUACCAUACCCUUUGUCUUCCUCAUUGCUAGCGAUCACUGUGUUGACAUUGCCCUUUUUGCCACGGCGAUCCGCUCGAUCAGGACAAUCCUUGGCAAAAUGACCCGCCUCGCCACAUGCGAAACAUGUCAAUUCAGCCUUGUUCUUCUUCUUCUUGAAGUUGGUAGUUUUAUUGGGCUUGUUAGAUUUUGGCUUCCCUUUGCCCUUGUUGUGGUUCUUCUGAACCAUGUUGGCGCUGGAGUGGCCCUCGCCUCCUUUAGAUCCCGUGUCCUUAGCCCGAGCUUUCUCCUCAACAUCCAGAGACGCUAUCAGAUUUUCGACUGAUAUCUCCUGUCUCUUAUGUUUCAGAGCUGUGGCGAAGUUCCUCCAUGUAGAAGGCAACUUUGCAAUAAUGCACCCGGCCACAAAUCGGUCAGGAAGGACUAUCUUAAGGUGGUCGAGCUCCUUGGCUAUACACUGUAUUUCAUGAGCUUGCUCUACAAUAGAGCGAUUAUCAACCAUCUUAUAAUCAUGAAAGCUCUCCAUGAUAUACAGGUCACUGCCAGCAUCUGAUGCACCAUACUUAGUAGUAAGUGCAUCCCACAACUGUUUCCCGUCUGUAUACUGCAUAUUCGCAUCAACCAGACGGUCAACAAGGGCGCUAAGAACGGCUCCCGUGAACAUAGUGUUGGCAUGGUCGUACUCUUUCUCCUGUUCAGGAGUCAGUGGACCCUCAGGUCUGCCUUUACUAACAUGGAAGACAUUCAUAGCAGUAAGCCAGAGCGUGGCCUUGACUUGCCAUCUCUUAAAGUGCAUACCAUUGAACUUUUCUGGCUUGAGCGCAUCGGCAAAAGCAGCCAUAGAAAAACUAGGAAAUUGUCUACAAUAAGGUUUUUGGAUUGUUGAAUAAUUAGACAAAUUCCAAAUUAAAUUCCGAAUAUAAAUCAUGACCAAAUCAGAAGAACUGAAAUAAAAGCCAAAUCAGAUGAUGCGUACUGAUUAGACUUACUGAUUGUUGGCGCGCGCCAGGAUCAGCUGGGUCGACGAGGUCAGCAGAUCACGAGCAGUCGCGUGAAGACGCUUCCCAAAAACCUUAUUCGCCCUCUCCCGGUGCAGGAUCUAGAAGACGAAGGGUUCCGGAGACCUGCUCUCCUGAUCGUAGAUGCACCUCUGCGGUCGGGACGAAGGGAACUAAAAGGCGGCUCAGCUAUGAAGAGAGGCGAAAGUGAACUGGGAUCUGGGAUGAUAUGGAGGCUGGCUGCCGGGCUCCUUUUAUAGGGCCAAGUCCGCGACCCCCUGUGCUUAUCCGCCCACGAAAAUCUCGCAAUUGAUUGUUGAGAUUUUAUAGCGAUCGGUUAGGAUAAGCGUAACAGCCAAGAAAUCAAAAAAUCAAACGGCAAAAGGUAGUCGCGCCCCCGCAAGGCGAGGGGCCGGAUUUCGGCGGACCAUUCACGCGCAUGUCGUGCGCCCGCGCCCUUCGCCCUUCGCCCUUCGCCCCGCCCCGCCCCGCCCCGCCCCGCCCCGCCCCGCCCCGCCCCGCCCCGCCCAGGCCAGGCCAGGCCAGGCCAGGCGAGGCGAGCGAGCGCGCGCGCGUGUGGCUCUCCACACUCUCUCCUCUCAUCCAUGACUUGGUGAGUGAGUGUGGCUUCCAUAUUUAAGCUAGCUCUACUCCACAAGAGCUAGCAAUAUGGUGCUAUUGGUUCCACCUAUCCCUUUGCCAUCCACUUAUAUGGGCUUUUGAGAUUUUCCUGGAAUUAUUAGAAAUUCUUAAUUGGGCCAAGCCUAUAAAUCCUAACAGCAAAAACAUCCAGACCAAAGAGCAGCAAGAGUCGAAUCGUGUACUUUUCGUCGAGCAAGCAAGGCAUCUCGCCGUCCACGCGUUGCUAAAAACACUAAAACAAGCACGCAACUGAAGGAUCGUAACAUUCUCAAUAACAACAAACCACUAGCAACUCACCGACGAGCAAUAAGAAGAGGAGCACAGGGAGCGCCAGCAUAAGCCGCCUCGCCAUUGCCAACCGAGCGCCGAGCCCUGGCACCGCCGCCGCUUCUAGCCCUCGGUGUCCGCGCUUGCAGCGGCAAUGCGUCGAUGGGCUGCACGGCGGGGGCCUCACCGUUGGGGACUGGGGAGGAGAAAGAGAGCCGGAGAGGUGAGGAUUGAGAGAGAGAGAGAUUGAGGACAAGACGUGACAGGCACGGGCGCAGCCGCUGAGCCACUGGCUGCGACGCAGGCAGAGCAGAGGCUGCUGGAUUGAAGUGCGUGACGGCUGUUGCGGGAGCGGACGCCAGCCGGUGGCUAUGAAAUGGAGCUGAGGGCGUUCAAACAAGGCCGGCUCAAGUCCGGAAAGGAACAGUGGAGAAACGGAACGACGAGGGCACAGGAAAAACGGGGGCGAGGAAUGUCUGCUGGUAGGGA